rnacentral:rRNA from 1 species
UUCCUAAAACAUAGAGUUAAUGCACUGAAUCCCAUUAGAACUCCACAUUUAAGCAUGCUUAGGCUAGAGUAGUACUGGGAUGGGUGACCGCCCAGGAGGUGCUAGUAUUUUACAUGC